rnacentral:rRNA from 1 species
GAAGCUGGAUUCGCUAGUAAUCGCGCAUCAGCCAUGGCGCGGUGAAUACGUUCCCGGGCCUUGUACACACCGCCCGUCAAGCCAUGGAAGCUGGGGGGUGCCUGAAGUUCGUGACCGCAAGGAGCGACCUAGGGCAAAACUGGUGACUGGGGCUAAGUCGUAACAAGGUAGC